UGAAGACUUAGAACCAGAACUUAGUUCAGGUUAGAAGGGAGCUUAGCUGCCCAACACACAGCCAGCUUGGAGAUCAGAUAAGACUGCUCACAGUUUUAUCCAGCCAGUCGUUUUGCUCUUUCUGUAAGAUGGGCAGGGGAAAUUUGAGGGUAUAGCAGAAUAGCUUGGUUGGCCUGUGUGGGCAGAGAUCAUUAGAAAGGCAGGUGAUUGACUUGUUCAAAAUGUGUUAAUGGCAAUAAUCUUGAAUGAAGUGGCUCUGCUUCCAGCAGAGGAUAAUUAGCCUUUGCAUUUGAAAGGAAAUGAGCAGGAAAAGCAAUAAGCAUUAGGCAUGAGUCCCACUACCAUGCAGUUUCUAACUCUGGAAACCACAGCUUGCUUCAAGGAGUGUUGGCUUCAGUUGCAAGGGUAUGUCACUUCCUCAGAGCAGGCCAAAACUGAAGUGUGAACUGUAGAGUUCUGUGGCAUCACAAACUAUAGAGCUGUGGGGGAAGGGAAAGUGUAAAGGGAGAACCCACAUGAGAAACCAGUGGCUGUUUGGACUGCAAAGUGUCAGCAGGUGUCUGGUACAUUCUGCUUGCUGAGGGAAGCAGGUGGCUUAUUAUUCACAGGAGGAAAGAAAAAGAAAAGAUCUCUGUGACAAAAGUUCCGGAGAACCAGAUGAACAGAGGGACCUCUGGAGGUUUCAAGGAGAUGGGUUGUUCUUUUCCAAGAAGACAGAGCAUUUUGAAAGCUGCUAUUAUGGAAAUCACUGUCUGCUAAGCUGAGCACAGUGGGGAGUUCUCAGGAAGAUGAUUCUUCUGAAAAUGCCUGUGAAAUUCUGCUGAAAAUGUCUACACCAAAGCAAGGAGUAUUUCCUCUUGUUCCAUCCCAGCACAUGUACUGACAGAGUUGCAAAACCUGAAUACUUAAAAUCCUGACUGAACUGA